GGUUAAGCGACUAAGCGUACACGGUGGAUGCCCUGGCAGUCAGAGGCGAUGAAGGACGUGCUAAUCUGCGAUAAGCGUCGGUAAGGUGAUAUGAACCGUUAUAACCGGCGAUUUCCGAAUGGGGAAACCCAGUGUGAUUCGUCACACUAUCAUUAACUGAAUCCAUAGGUUAAUGAGGCGAACCGGGGGAACUGAAACAUCUAAGUACCCCGAGGAAAAGAAAUCAACCGAGAUUCCCUCAGUAGCGGCGAGCGAACGGGGAGCAGCCCAGAGCCUGAAUCAGUGUGUGUGUUAGUGGAAGCGUCUGGAAAGGCGCGCGAUACAGGGUGACAGCCCCGUACACAAAAAUGCACAUGCUGUGAGCUCGAUGAGUAGGGCGGGACACGUGGUAUCCUGUCUGAAUAUGGGGGGACCAUCCUCCAAGGCUAAAUACUCCUGACUGACCGAUAGUGAACCAGUACCGUGAGGGAAAGGCGAAAAGAACCCCGGCGAGGGGAGUGAAAAAGAACCUGAAACCGUGUACGUACAAGCAGUGGGAGCCUCUUUAUGGGGUGACUGCGUACCUUUUGUAUAAUGGGUCAGCGACUUAUAUUCUGUAGCAAGGUUAACCGAAUAGGGGAGCCGAAGGGAAACCGAGUCUUAACUGGGCGUUAAGUUGCAGGGUAUAGACCCGAAACCCGGUGAUCUAGCCAUGGGCAGGUUGAAGGUUGGGUAACACUAACUGGAGGACCGAACCGACUAAUGUUGAAAAAUUAGCGGAUGACUUGUGGCUGGGGGUGAAAGGCCAAUCAAACCGGGAGAUAGCUGGUUCUCCCCGAAAGCUAUUUAGGUAGCGCCUCGUGAAUUCAUCUCCGGGGGUAGAGCACUGUUUCGGCAAGGGGGUCAUCCCGACUUACCAACCCGAUGCAAACUGCGAAUACCGGAGAAUGUUAUCACGGGAGACACACGGCGGGUGCUAACGUCCGUCGUGAAGAGGGAAACAACCCAGACCGCCAGCUAAGGUCCCAAAGUCAUGGUUAAGUGGGAAACGAUGUGGGAAGGCCCAGACAGCCAGGAUGUUGGCUUAGAAGCAGCCAUCAUUUAAAGAAAGCGUAAUAGCUCACUGGUCGAGUCGGCCUGCGCGGAAGAUGUAACGGGGCUAAACCAUGCACCGAAGCUGCGGCAGCGACACUAUGUGUUGUUGGGUAGGGGAGCGUUCUGUAAGCCUGUGAAGGUGUGCUGUGAGGCAUGCUGGAGGUAUCAGAAGUGCGAAUGCUGACAUAAGUAACGAUAAAGCGGGUGAAAAGCCCGCUCGCCGGAAGACCAAGGGUUCCUGUCCAACGUUAAUCGGGGCAGGGUGAGUCGACCCCUAAGGCGAGGCCGAAAGGCGUAGUCGAUGGGAAACAGGUUAAUAUUCCUGUACUUGGUGUUACUGCGAAGGGGGGACGGAGAAGGCUAUGUUGGCCGGGCGACGGUUGUCCCGGUUUAAGCGUGUAGGCUGGUUUUCCAGGCAAAUCCGGAAAAUCAAGGCUGAGGCGUGAUGACGAGGCACUACGGUGCUGAAGCAACAAAUGCCCUGCUUCCAGGAAAAGCCUCUAAGCAUCAGGUAACAUCAAAUCGUACCCCAAACCGACACAGGUGGUCAGGUAGAGAAUACCAAGGCGCUUGAGAGAACUCGGGUGAAGGAACUAGGCAAAAUGGUGCCGUAACUUCGGGAGAAGGCACGCUGAUAUGUAGGUGAAGCGACUUGCUCGUGGAGCUGAAAUCAGUCGAAGAUACCAGCUGGCUGCAACUGUUUAUUAAAAACACAGCACUGUGCAAACACGAAAGUGGACGUAUACGGUGUGACGCCUGCCCGGUGCCGGAAGGUUAAUUGAUGGGGUUAGCGGUAACGCGAAGCUCUUGAUCGAAGCCCCGGUAAACGGCGGCCGUAACUAUAACGGUCCUAAGGUAGCGAAAUUCCUUGUCGGGUAAGUUCCGACCUGCACGAAUGGCGUAAUGAUGGCCAGGCUGUCUCCACCCGAGACUCAGUGAAAUUGAACUCGCUGUGAAGAUGCAGUGUACCCGCGGCAAGACGGAAAGACCCCGUGAACCUUUACUAUAGCUUGACACUGAACAUUGAGCCUUGAUGUGUAGGAUAGGUGGGAGGCUUUGAAGUGUGGACGCCAGUCUGCAUGGAGCCGACCUUGAAAUACCACCCUUUAAUGUUUGAUGUUCUAACGUUGGCCCCUUAUCGGGGUUGCGGACAGUGUCUGGUGGGUAGUUUGACUGGGGCGGUCUCCUCCUAAAGAGUAACGGAGGAGCACGAAGGUUGGCUAAUCCUGGUCGGACAUCAGGAGGUUAGUGCAAUGGCAUAAGCCAGCUUGACUGCGAGCGUGACGGCGCGAGCAGGUGCGAAAGCAGGUCAUAGUGAUCCGGUGGUUCUGAAUGGAAGGGCCAUCGCUCAACGGAUAAAAGGUACUCCGGGGAUAACAGGCUGAUACCGCCCAAGAGUUCAUAUCGACGGCGGUGUUUGGCACCUCGAUGUCGGCUCAUCACAUCCUGGGGCUGAAGUAGGUCCCAAGGGUAUGGCUGUUCGCCAUUUAAAGUGGUACGCGAGCUGGGUUUAGAACGUCGUGAGACAGUUCGGUCCCUAUCUGCCGUGGGCGCUGGAGAACUGAGGGGGGCUGCUCCUAGUACGAGAGGACCGGAGUGGACGCAUCACUGGUGUUCGGGUUGUCAUGCCAAUGGCACUGCCCGGUAGCUAAAUGCGGAAGAGAUAAGUGCUGAAAGCAUCUAAGCACGAAACUUGCCCCGAGAUGAGUUCUCCCUGACCCUUUAAGGGUCCUGAAGGAACGUUGAAGACGACGACGUUGAUAGGCCGGGUGUGUAAGCGCAGCGAUGCGUUGAGCUAACCGGUACUAAUGAACCGUGAGGCUUAACCUU
rnacentral:rRNA from 1 species